CCACCCGUGUCACCGGGUGAAUCUAGAAGGCUGAAUUAGGAGCGCCUUUGACAAUAUAGCGAGGCGCCGCAAGGUGCGGGGUACCAAUCGUGAGAGGCGUACUCUUCUGGCAGCCAUGGCCGGACAAUGCU
rnacentral:ncRNA from 1 species